UCGACUGAGGUUGGCUUAAUAUAGAUUCACAACUUGAAACUAAUUUGUGAACUUAAUUAUUACCUGCUCUUAAGUUUUUGAGUUUUUUUAUAUCUGCAAUUAAGGGUGUACCCAGGAACUAGAGGGGGCACCUUAUUUAAUUCACGGACAAGUGUCAGUUGAUAAUGUUUCGUUGCUCCCUGAAUUACAACCUGCCUUAAAAUUGAUGUUUGCUGAACAUUGUGAAGAACUAGAAAAUAAGGCUCUCAAGCGACAAAUGAGACUAGAGAGAGAAAGAAGUGCCUCCUUAGAUAGGAAUUUGAAAAGAAAACAAAGUUUAACUUGACGUUUGUAAUUAAACAAAAAUUAUGAAGUG